rnacentral:lncRNA from 1 species
CUAGCUCUGAUACCAGUGAAAAUGUAGUCUCGACAAACUGUCACGGACACAAAAUAGAGACUUGAAAUCUAAGAAGAAGUUCAAGAAGAAGUGGCAAAACUAGAUUAAACAGAUGAGUACAAGAACAACACCAGAAAGGUGAGCUAGAACUCCAAGAGAUGUGUUGUCGAGACUGAAGAACCCUUCAGCCUCGACUCCUAUAUAUACUACUGAAUAGGAAGCUUCUCGAGCUACUUCCGCUAACUAGGACGCUUCUCCAACAACUUCUACUAAUUAGAAAACUUCUCGAGCAACUUCCUAGAAUCUAUCAGAAUAUUCUAGAACCUUCUAAGAAUAUUCUAGAACCUUCUAAGAGAAUCUUUAGGGAAUAUUCUAAGAAUCUUCUAGAACCUUCUAAAGGAAUCUUUAGAGAAUCUUUAG